AGUGAACGCUGGCGGUAGGCCUAACACAUGCAAGUCGAACGGCAGCACAGGAGAGCUUGCUCUCUGGGUGGCGAGUGGCGGACGGGUGAGGAAUACAUCGGAAUCUACUCUGUCGUGGGGGAUAACGUAGGGAAACUUACGCUAAUACCGCAUACGACCCACGGGUGAAAGCAGGGGACCUUCGGGCCUUGCGCGAUUGAAUGAGCCGAUGUCGGAUUAGCUAGUUGGCGGGGUAAAGGCCCACCAAGGCGACGAUCCGUAGCUGGUCUGAGAGGAUGAUCAGCCACACCGGAACUGAGACACGGUCCAGACUCCUACGGGAGGCAGCAGUGGGGAAUAUUGGACAAUGGGCGCAAGCCUGAUCCAGCCAUACCGCGUGGGUGAAGAAGGCCUUCGGGUUGUAAAGCCCUUUUGUUGGGAAAGAAAUCCAGCUGGCUAAUACCCGGUUGGGAUGACGGUACCCAAAGGAUAAGCACCGGCUAACUUCGUGCCAGCCGCCGCAGUAA
rnacentral:rRNA from 1 species